rnacentral:rRNA from 1 species
UACGAAGGGGGCUAGCGUUGUUCGGAAUUACUGGGCGUAAAGGGCGCGUAGGCGGCCGAUCAAGUCAGGUGUGAAAGUCCUGGGCUCAACCUGGGGACUGCAUUUGAUACUGAUUGGCUUGAAUCCGGGAGAGGAUGGCGGAAUUCCCAGUGUAGAGGUGAAAUUCGUAGAUAUUGGGAAGAACACCAGUGGCGAAGGCGGCCAUCUGGACCGUGAUUGACGCUGAGGCGCGAAAGCGUGGGGAGCAAACAGG